GAUGAACGCUGGCGGCGUGCCUAAUACAUGCAAGUCGAGCGAACAGACGAGGAGCUUGCUCCUCUGACGUUAGCGGCGGACGGGUGAGUAACACGUGGAUAACCUACCUAUAAGACUGGGAUAACUUCGGGAAACCGGAGCUAAGACCGGAUAAUAUAUUGAACCGCAUGGUUCAAUAGUGAAAGACGGUUUUGCUGUCACUUAUAGAUGGAUCCGCGCCGCAUUAGCUAGUUGGUAAGGUAACGGCUUACCAAGGCAACGAUGCGUAGCCGACCUGAGAGGGUGAUCGGCCACACUGGGACUGAGACACGGUCCAGACUCCUACGGGAGGCAGCAGUAGGGAAUCUUCCGCAAAGGGCGAAAGCCUGACGGAGCAACGCCGCGUGAGUGAUGAAGGUCUUCGGAUCGUAAAACUCUGUUAUUAGGGAAGAACAAGUGUGUAAGUAACUGUGCACGUCUUGACGGUACCUAAUCAGAAAGCCACGGCUAACUACGUG
rnacentral:rRNA from 1 species